GUGAGGAAUAUUGGUCAAUGGACGAGAGUCUGAACCAGCCAAGUCGCGUGAAGGAAGACGGCCCUACGGGUUGUAAACUUCUUUUGUAAGGGAAUAAAUAGUCUUACGCGCUAAGACGUUGCAGGUACCUUACGAAUAAGGAUCGGCUAACUCCGUGCCAGCAGCCGCGGUAAUACGGAGGAUCCGAGCGUUAUCCGGAUUUAUUGGGUUUAAAGGGUGCGCAGGCGGCAUGUUAAGUCGGCGGUGAAAUUUUGCAGCUCAACUGUAAAAGAGCCUUCGAAACUGGCAAGCUUGAGUGUGGAUGAAGUAGGCGGAAUUUGUGGUGUAGCGGUGAAAUGCAUAGAUAUCACAAAGAACACCGAUUGCGCAGGCAGCUUACUAAACCAUAACUGACGCUCAUGCACGAAGGCGUGGGGAUCAAACAGG
rnacentral:rRNA from 1 species